UACGUAGGGUGCAAGCGUUGUCCGGAAUUAUUGGGCGUAAAGAGCUCGUAGGCGGUCUGUCGCGUCGGCUGUGAAAACCCGGAGCUCAACUCCGGGCCUGCAGUCGAUACGGGCAAACUAGAAUUCGGUAGGGGAGACUGGAAUUCCUGGUGUAGCGGUGAAAUGCGCAGAUAUCAGGAGGAACACCGGUGGCGAAGGCGGGUCUCUGGGCCGAUAUUGACGCUGAGGAGCGAAAGCGUGGGGAGCAAACAGG
rnacentral:rRNA from 1 species